rnacentral:rRNA from 1 species
UGGGGAAUUUUGGACAAUGGGCGCAAGCCUGAUCCAGCCAUGCCGCGUGCGGGAAGAAGGCCUUCGGGUUGUAAACCGCUUUUGUCAGGGAAGAAAUCUUCUGAGUUAAUACCUCGGGAGGAUGACGGUACCUGAAGAAUAAGCACCGGCUAACUACGUGCCAGCAGCCGCGGUAAUACGUAGGGUGCAAGCGUUAAUCGGAAUUACUGGGCGUAAAGCGUGCGCAGGCGGUUUUGUAAGACAGAGGUGAAAUCCCCGGGCUCAACCUGGGAACUGCCUUUGUGACUGCAAGGCUUGAGUGCGGCAGAGGGGGAUGGAAUUCCGCGUGUAGCAGUGAAAUGCGUAGAUAUGCGGAGGAACACCGAUGGCGAAGGCAAUCCCCUGGGCCUGCACUGACGCUCAUGCACGAAAGCGUGGGGAGCAAACAGGAUUAGAUACCCUGGUAGUCCACGCCCUAAACGAUGUCAACUGGUUGUUGGGAAGGUUCCUUCUCAAUAACGUAGCUAACGCGUGAAGUUGACCGCCUGGGGAGUACGGCCGCAAGGUUGAAACUCAAAUGAAUUGACGGGGUCAUAGCUGUUUCCU